CUUUUUAGCACAGAGUCUCUGCUGGGCUGGGUUCCAUCUGUGUCUCUGCUGUUCCUGACACCACUGAAUUCUCCCCUGAUCCUCUGAUUGAGCUCCCCUCAUCCAAACCCAAAUUGUCUGAUCCCUUCCCCACUCCAGCUUCUUGGUUAACCUCUCUGUUUUUAAAUCUUUGUAUUUGUAGUUCAGAAAUGACCCUGCAGGUUCCUGGUGUGAUGAGGCAGGACCUACCUGGAUCUCACUUCUUUUUUAUCCUGGAUCUGCUCGUGCUGAAUUUUGGCUUCCUGACCCAGGCCACCCUCGUGAAGUGACAGACACAGGUCUAGGUCUCUUCCUGCAGAAAGGAGAAGCCCAAAUCUUUGUUUCCUGAUGCUCACAGCAGAGGACAGGCUGGUAUCUGAAUUUGGAAAGUAGGGCAGCAAGAAACCCUGGGCAGAGCACAGCAACAGCCUCCUGCUGAAAGGGGAGAGUCAGGCAUUCAAUUCCUCCUGUUGUGUGUGUGGUCCUGGGAGCCAACUCUCCUUUCCCCCCUUGGGUAUCACCUCCAAGGCAGGGAGGUGACAAGCACUUCAACUUCCCCGUGUUCCAAAGGAAGGAGGUGAAAGCUCUGCCUGUGUCAGCAUUCCCAAAAAGCUGCCCCUGGUGCCUCAGUGGAGGGGACCCACUGCAGAGGGAAAGCUGCAGACAAUGCCUGCUUUGUCCCCUCCCUGCUUCUUGGGCACCCUGAGAUGCUGAGUCCAAACAUUUAACCACAGAUGCAUUAAUUACCAUCCAGCUCCCAGGGAAAGGACCACAUGCCAGUAUCCAGGGGAAACAAAAAGGAAGAAGCACGGGAAGACCAUUGAUGAUUAAAUUACCCCAAGUGCAAUUACUGCCACCGAAAGUUCUUGAUGAACAUUUCCUAGAAACAUUGAGUUCUCCAACCUCUGCGCUCAGGCCACGGAGCACAGCAAUGACCCAGACACUGUGGGAUGAGGUCACCUUCCCACACAAUGCCAGGGGCUGUGUCCUGUGCAGGGUAGCUCUGCCCAGCCCAUGGCACUGAGCUGUUUGCUCUGGCAGCUGUGAGCUCCAGGGCCGGCUCCACGCGUGUGCUCAGCUGCUCACUGCAGCUAAUCCUAAAGUUUGGCAGCCACCCCAGAGGAAAAUGAGCCAUGCAGGGACAGCUGGUUGGGAAUCACAGCAAGCUGCAAACAGUCUGACACCGGCAGAAGUUGGGUUUCCCCCACAAUCCUUGGAAGUCUGGCAAAGCAAACCCUGCUCGACGCAGGGGCAUGGGGAGAGGAAUGAGCCAUAACAAAUUCAUCCCUCCCAGGAGGCAGGGGAUGGAUGGAGCCCAAACCCCUCUCGGUGCUUGGAUGGGAGGGAGGAACGUGGAGCUCCUGGGAUGGCUCUGCUGAGGGGGCAGCAGCUCCUCAGAGCAUCUGUGACACGAGGGCUGGGCCUCCACUGCUGCAUCCCAGGCCAGGAUCCCGAAUUAGCUGUGGAAUGGGAGUGCUGGCAUUUACAGCCAGGGUGUGGCAGCCCUGCUUGCCUUUAAUAGGUGUCCCUGGGCAGGUUCCUCUCCCAGCUGCGUCCAGCCUGGCUUUGAGGAGCUCUGAUGAACCCAGGACAGGCUCCUGCCUCCAGCACAGCCAGCACUGCAUGCUCUCCUUCCCAAACCUCCUCAGCAUCUUUCUCCUCACAGCAGUUUCAUCAUCAUCAUCUAAACAAUGGGAUGUUCUUCCAUGUGUCCCACUGAGUGACAACAUGACCUGUGUGCUGAGCUCCUCCCCUGCCUGAAAAAUUCCCCGUGGAAAUAAAAACCCCUUUUUGAGCACCAGGGUCAGCAUGGCAGAGAAUCCCACUGGAGGAACACGCACAGCCAGGGCAGGAGAGAGCCUGCUUUGAUAUCUUUAACAUCUGAUGCCUCCAGUUUCAAAAGCACUUGGAAAGUCUGAGAUGGAAAAACUGCUGCAGAAAGGCCAAAACUGCUGGAGAAGUGAAACAAUCCCAUGUGUUUUUGCUGCUCUGCCAAAUGGGGACAAAGCUCCUGAAUGCAGCAUAAAAUAAUAUUGAGGGAGUGACCCACUGAGCAUACGUGGGGGGCCAGAGUUGCUUUGUUCCCACUCUGUGGCUCGGUGCAAAUUUAGCUUUGAGUAAGUCCCUGAACUUUCCUGACUCAUUCCUCACUGCUGUUAAAGGUGGGUGAUGCUCAUUUCCCUAUGGAUUGUCAGGAGCACUGGUGAUUUAUUAUGUAAAGCGUGGACAAAUUAAUUCUAAGUGUUCUAAAAAAGAAAUAAAUAAAUCCAGAAUAAUAUAAACAGCAA